GGUGGGGUGCUAGAGCGGUUGAAUAGGCCAGUCUUGAAAACUGGAAGGGGUGCAAGCCCCUCGUGAGUUCGAAUCUCACCCCCACCG
rnacentral:tRNA from 1 species